UCACCACCACCAUUUACCUGAUUAAUCUUUCGGGCAUUUGGCGUGUGCGGAAGAUAGACUUCCGAGUACGCAUAGAGCAAAACAUCAACCCCUCGGAAGCAAUUCCGAGGGGUUUUUCUU
rfam:Pasteurellaceae bacterium 15-036681 NODE_1_length_139539_cov_78.3345, whole genome shotgun sequence.